AAUCCAUAGGUUAAUGAGGCGAACCGGGGGAACUGAAACAUCUAAGUACCCCGAGGAAAAGAAAUCAACCGAGAUUCCCCCAGUAGCGGCGAGCGAACGGGGAGGAGCCCAGAGCCUGAAUCAGCAUGUGUGUUAGUGGAAGCGUCUGGAAAGGCGCGCGAUACAGGGUGACAGCCCCGUACACAAAAGCGCAUGUGCUGUGAGCUCGAUGAGUAGGGCGGGACACGUGGUAUCCUGUCUGAAUAUGGGGGGACCAUCCUCCAAGGCUAAAUACUCCUGACUGACCGAUAGUGAACCAGUACCGUGAGGGAAAGGCGAAAAGAACCCCGGCGAGGGGAGUGAAAAAGAACCUGAAACCGUGUACGUACAAGCAGUGGGAGCCCCACCACUAAGCCAGUGGUGAACUCCACAUACGCAUCCUUUGCUGAGGAUACGGUUAACGGAGCGAAAGCGACGUUCAACCGCAAAAGAAGCAGAGGGGGCUUAGUGGUGGGGUGACUGCGUACCUUUUGUAUAAUGGGUCAGCGACUUAUAUUCUGUAGCAAGGUUAACCGUAUAGGGGAGCCGGAGGGAAACCGAGUCUUAAUUGGGCGUUAAGUUGCAGGGUAUAGACCCGAAACCCGGUGAUCUAGCCAUGGGCAGGUUGAAGGUUGGGUAACACUAACUGGAGGACCGAACCGACUAAUGUUGAAAAAUUAGCGGAUGACCUGUGGCUGGGGGUGAAAGGCCAAUCAAACCGGGAGAUAGCUGGUUCUCCCCGAAAGCUAUUUAGGUAGCGCCUCGUGAAUUCAUCUCCGGGGGUAGAGCACUGUUUCGGCUAGGGGGCCAUCCCGGCUUACCAACCCGAUGCAAACUGCGAAUACCGGAGAAUGUUAUCACGGGAGACACACGGCGGGUGCUAACGUCCGUCGUGAAGAGGGAAACAACCCAGACCGCCAGCUAAGGUCCCAAAGUCAUGGUUAAGUGGGAAACGAUGUGGGAAGGCCCAGACAGCCAGGAUGUUGGCUUAGAAGCAGCCAUCAUUUAAAGAAAGCGUAAUAGCUCACUGGUCGAGUCGGCCUGCGCGGAAGAUGUAACGGGGCUAAACCAUGCACCGAAGCUGCGGCAGCGACACUCAGGUGUUGUUGGGUAGGGGAGCGUUCUGUAAGCCUGUGAAGGUGGCCUGUGAGGGUUGCUGGAGGUAUCAGAAGUGCGAAUGCUGACAUAAGUAACGAUAAAGCGGGUGAAAAGCCCGCUCGCCGGAAGACCAAGGGUUCCUGUCCAACGUUAAUCGGGGCAGGGUGAGUCGACCCCUAAGGCGAGGCCGAAAGGCGUAGUCGAUGGGAAACGGGUUAAUAUUCCCGUACUUGGUGUUACUGCGAAGGGGGGACGGAGAAGGCUAUGUUGGCCGGGCGA
rnacentral:rRNA from 1 species